UAGUAUUGUGUAACAGAUUGAGUUAGAGUAGGCUGCGUCUAAGGGACUGUCAGAUAUGAUGCGUAAAUAAAGUCAUUGUUCAUUAAUACCCCGAACUGUAAAGUAUACUUUCUACAUUGGCGACGAGGAUGAACAUUGGACGCGUGAACAUUGGAAUGCUCAAGACGGACGUGGAGCAGAACGGGAAAACAAAGAGAAGCAAAUUGAAACGCAACGGAUGGACAACCGAAUUCAACUUACACAGCCUAUCUCAACGUGGUCCCAACGGCUGUUUUCCGAAAAAAAAGUCAAGGUAGUUGUUGCAGAGGAAGCGGAGGUGAGGAAUAUCUGGCCAUUGGGCGAGAGGAUAUUCGAGAAAGCUUGGAACAUCAACUACAGACUCUCUCCGGGAAUGUACGAGAUUUUCCUGAAUGCAGAAGGUACCUAUUAUUUGGAGCUAAUUUGUCGCAAGUCUCCUAUAGGAACAUGCAUGAUGUUGAACAUUGCUGCUGAAGGUGAACGCGCAAUAAGAACCACAUGCUGGUUGGAAAUGGAUUAGGUGAACAGGACGACUACCCGGGAAUGAUGAAUGACGCUGUACAUGGAUGGUCAACCCAACAUUUACCUGCUUUGACGUUGUUAUCAUCUGAACUAUGAGUGAAGACAUGUAUGGAAAAUAUAUAAUCAUAAUUGAACAAAUGUUAUAAACAGUGAGGAGAUCGAGGAACAUGUAGAGGUAAAAAUCAUAUUUGUAAUUUUAUUAGAAAGAAGGAGAGAUGUAGUAUUGUGUAACAGAUUGAGUUAGAGUAGGCUGCG